rnacentral:rRNA from 1 species
GAUGAACGCUGGCGGCGUGCUUAACACAUGCGAGUCGAACGGAAAGGCGGACUUCGGGCUGCUCGCGUGUGGCGAGCGGGCGAGUAACGUACAUGAACUUCCCCUGCCUCGGGGGAUAACUAAGCAAACGGGGACCAAAGCCGGCAAAGGAUCUUUGGUGGAAAGGGGGGGAUGGAAAGAUCCUGCAGGUUUGGAUGGACCCGCACCGGAUAAGCUAGUUGGUGGGGUAACGGCUUACCAAGGCGACGAUGGGUAGCCGGCGUGAGAGGGCGACCGGCCACACUGCGACUGACACACGGCCCUGACUCCUACGGGAGGCAGCGGCUGGGACUGUUGGCCGAUGGGGGGAAGCCUGAACCAGCCGCGGCGGCUGUGUGAUGAAGGCCUUCGGGUUGUAUAACGCUCUUGGGAGUGAAGAACCCUUGCGGCAUGAUCGCCGCUUGUGGUGACGGUACCUGCAGAAUAAGCACCGGCUAACUACGUG